rnacentral:rRNA from 1 species
UACGGGGGGGGCAAGCGUUGUUCGGAAUUACUGGGCGUAAAGGGUUAGUAGGUGGCCAACUAAGUCAGACGUGAAAUCCCUCAGCUUAACUGGGGAACUGCGUCUGAGACUGAUUGGCUCGAGGACAGGAGAGGAACGCGGAAUUCCAGGUGUAGCGGUGAAAUGCGUAGAUAUCAGGAGGAACACCGGUGGCGAAGGCGGGUCUCUGGGCAGUAACUGACGCUGAGGAGCGAAAAGCGUGGGGGAGCGAACAGG